CCGAAGUUCACUGUAGAAAAUAAAGAUAACUGGUCCAUGUCUGCCUCUGGGGAAAACCCGAUGCUACAUGAGUUUGUACACUUUAUGACAUAUAAGAGGCUUGAAAAAAAAAAAUCAGUGAUCGAACAAGCUAUGGCAUGAAUAGAAUACAUUUUAGAGCAGGUUACCUUGUUGAUUCUCAGCUAUAAUCCACAUGAUUCCAUGAGCAUCUGGUACUGGCGAAGGAAAGAAGAUCUAACUGCUGUCAAGAAUGUCCAUAUUUUUUCAGUGUUCUUCAUUUUCUA